UACGCAGGGGGCUAGCGUUGCUCGGAAUUACUGGGCGUAAAGCGCACGUAGGCGGUCUUUUAAGUCGGGGGUGAAAUCCUGGAGCUCAACUCCAGAACUGCCUUCGAUACUGGAAGACUCGAGUCCGGGAGAGGUGAGUGGAACUGCGAGUGUAGAGGUGAAAUUCGUAGAUAUUCGCAAGAACACCAGUGGCGAAGGCGGCUCACUGGCCCGGUACCGACGCUGAGGUGCAAAAGCGUGGGGAGCAAACAGG
rnacentral:rRNA from 1 species